CCGUGGCUGCAGGAGCAGUUCUUGGUUUGCAGGCAGUGUAGUUAGCUGAUUGUCUGCAGAAUUCCACAAUCACUAACUUCACUGCCACCAAAACAAGGCACAGCAUUCCCCGCUCCAAC
rnacentral:pre_miRNA from 12 species